rnacentral:lncRNA from 1 species
UGCAUAGUACAUGGAACAGGGAUGCGGGAACGGAGGGCGUCCAUCCAAAAAAUAAGAAAGAUUCAUUUCCAAUGACGAUCAAUAUGCCAAAACAAAGAUCGUGCUCUAUCUGUGAAACGAAGGGACAUGACAAACAAGAGUAAGAAGAAUCCAUAGAAAUCACAUGUAAUUUGGAUAUUUUUCAUUGCAAAUCUAUGUAAUUUAUACAUUAUAUUGAAUGACAACUUGUUUUUCAAAGUUAGGCAGACAAUAUUGAUACCCCAGGUUUUCCAUAAAUUGUAAUCAUACAAACAAAACAACUAUUCAUAAUACCCUAGUACACAAACAAAUAUACCAAAUUCUAAAUAUCAAAUCAUUUCAAUCGCCAAACGUUGCCAUCAUACGAAUUCCAUCUAACAAAGACCAUUUUGCCGUAUUCAAAUCUUUGUCUAUUCCAUAUCCCACAUGACCUAAAGCUAACGCCUCAAUUGCCAAUAACAUUCGCAAACCAUUAUCGUCAUCUUUACAUUUAACCUGUGUGAACCUCGGCUCAACUAUUCUAUGCCAUUCCUUAUCUUCGAAUUUGUCAAAUCGUAAUGUCAGGUACGCAUUCAUCCAACCAGCCUACAUAUUGCAGGAAAACGCAUUCAUCCAACCAGCCUACAUAUUGCAGAAAAACUCAAUAGUGCAUAGUUCAUAGUGCAUAGUGCAUAGUGCAAAAAACUCAAUAGUUCACACAUUAACAAAAAACGACUAUAAUAGCAAAAAAGAGGGGGAAAAUAAUAGGUUAGAAUAAAAAAAAUCCAGAGUGACCACAUGAUAAACAGGGAGAAGUACAAAAAUGAUAAAACAUAAAUUGAUAGAUACAUAAACAACUAAAUUAGGGGGAAAAUUUACUCUUUUACAUCAUUAGGGAAAAACACUUAGAAAACAUAAGAAAAGCUCGGAAAGAAACCACAAGAUCCGGGCACAUUGCAUAGUGCAUAGUGCAAAAAACUCAAUAGUUCACACAUUAACAAAAAACGACUAUAAUAGCAAAAAACAGGGGGAAUAAUAGAUUAGAGUAUGAAAUUUCCAUAUGUGCACACAUAAGAGUAAGAGUAGAGAAGGAAAAAAAAAUUAUAAAGGAAAUGAUAGACCAAUAAACCCAAUAGGAGAACAUUAUAGAGGAAAUUAUAGAGGGCAGAAUCUAAAAAUGUCGAGAAACCCAUAAACUAAUUUGCGAUUUUAGAGGGCAGAUACACCAAAUUAUAGAGGGCAGGCAGAUACACCAACUUGGAAAAAAAAACUAAUUUGCGAUUUUAAAAAUUUUAGGGAAGAAAUCGUUGGCAGAGACUAUUUAGGAAGAAAUCGUUGAAAGUAUGGAAAAAAUACUAUUGGAAAAAUCAAAAAUAAUUUCGACGGAGUAUAGAUGAAGAAAAAAUGAACUACAAAAGAAACUGAACUUUAGGAUACUCACCUAAGCUUGGACAAUGGAGACCUCGCCGGUGCCUUCCCAUUACGAUCACCACUUGUGUUCGACAUGUUACUGUUGAAGACGACGACUUGAUCACUGAUCGGGAGAGGAAUGGGAGUAGAAAAACGCGCCGCUGCCUAAAAACCAAGAGAGAAAUAUCAACAAAUGGGAGGUGCUAAGGUUAGAGAUUAAAACUUUAGGGAAUCUAAAUUUCCACAACACCCAACCGUCCGCCGGUCACUACACUGUGCACUGUAUUAUCGCUGCCGGUGUGUACUAUCGCCGGUCAGUCAAUACUUUCGCUGUCAUAAACUUAGCAUCAAAGGUGCAAUUUCACUCCAACGGUUACAAUUAAUAGGCAUU